UUCGGUACCAUCAAUCUCAGGUACUAUUAAUACCCGCUUAUUUUUCCCGAAUGACAGGAGUUUACGACCCGAAAACCUUCAUCCUCCACGCAGCGUCGCUUUGUCACGCUUCCGCGCAUUGCAAAGAUCCUCG
rnacentral:rRNA from 1 species